UACGUAGGGGUCGAGCGUUGUCCGGAGUUACUGGGCGUAAAGGGCAUGCAGGCGGUCGGACGCGUUUUGUGUGACAGCGGGUGGCUCAACUACCCGAGCAUGCGAAAGACGGUCGGACUUGAGGACUCGAGAGGGACACGGAAUUCCGGGUGGAGUGGUGAAAUGCGUAGAGAUCCGGAGGAACACCGAAGGCGAAGGCAGUGUCCUGGCGAGUGACUGACGCUGAGGUGCGAAAGCCAGGGGAGCGAACGGG
rnacentral:rRNA from 1 species